AAAAAGCCUAACAAAACCUUCAUGGGAGAAGCAUGCCAUGUUUUCAGGAAGCACUGGGGAACAAUCCUGCCUGGAGUGAAAUAACAUAUUUAUUUUGCUGACUUGCCAAUCCCCAAAAUCCCUGUGGAGAUUUGUAGAGGUUUUGUAGGUUUGGUCUGUCAGCUUGGCUGUACAACAGAUUUGUUAAAGGACCUUUAUUAAGUGGAGGCCCUACGCUGGAGAAGCCUGUUCCUGCCAGGGCCCCAUGCUGAAGCAGUUCAUGAAGAAUUGCAGCCCAUGAGAAGGACUCACCAGGGAGGAGUUAAUGGAGGACUGUCUCCUGAGGAGGGGAUCCAUGCUGGAGCAGGGACGUGUGAGGAGCCCUCCCAUUAAGGAGGAAGAAUUGGAAGAAGCAACAUGUGAUGAACUGACCAGGAGUAAAGUUAAGCCCAGGAAGACAAGGUGCUUUCUUCAGAAGAACAGAAUUUAGAGAAUGUUGAAGAGGAAGAAGGGAAAAGUAGGAAGCAGGAGAAACUGAGAGCUGGAUUCUCAUCUAACGGAGGACCUGCAUCUAUUUCUCUGUUGGAUGUAACAGCACCCAGCCAGACUGGUAGGAUCAGCACCCUGCCAAUAGCCACCUCAUUCUCAUAAACACUCAAAGCCCCAAAAAGAAAUGGACCAAAUAUUUCCUAUGGCAGAUUAUUUGCUUCCAAGACAGCACAAGUGUCACUGAGAAAGUGAGGAGGAAAACAGAAAGAAGCAUCAGGGAGAGCACUGCAAGAGAGCUUCCGAAGAAUGCAAAGCUUUCUUUGAAUUGAGAAAUUAAGAUAACAAGGUCACAGAAAUAAAUCCAGUGCCAGUAUUUUAGCCUGACAAGAAAUAAACAUUUGAAUGUUCAGGACAUGGCUCUGAAGCAUCCAGUGCAGGGAGGAAACAUGGAAGAUUUGGAGCCCCACUGACUGCGUACGAGAAGAUAGCAGAGAAAAGAAGCAACUAUCAUACACCUUAAGAAAAUGGUAUCAAUAAACACAGCCACAUUUUUCUUUAGAAGAAGAUCCACAAGUUCCAAGAAAGACAGCAUGAAACUUGCAUGCAGCUAUGACAGAUUGCUGUGUAGGUGAUCUGUACAAAACUAAAAACUUUCCUUCACAACAAGUUUAACAACAUUUUAAGAAACACCUUUAUGUAAAGGAAAGUGAAGGAGGUGGGAUGAAGCUGCCUCAUAAGGUUUUCAGAGAGCUCUUACACAUAGAAAUAAUAAAUGUAUUUUCAAAUCUGUGUACAGAUGUUUAACAAGGGACUAUAGCUUUCUGUAGCAGAGUGCAGCAAGGCCUCAGGUCCAUAGUUUUAACCUGCUACCAUGAAGGAGGUCUGGGUAAGAGUGCUGUAUUCUCUUUGAAAAGGAAGAGAGAGCACUGUUAUCAUCUUCCCAGCUUUGGAAGGGCAUAAGCCAAAUUUUUCAUCAAAACCAUAAAAAACAAUUUUGACCACCACCAUAUUUUCCUUAGGAGCACAACUGCAAAAACAAGUUUAAGCAACCAAGAGAAAAUGCUUACAAAGUGCUGUGUCUGUUCUUACCUAUUUAAAAAUUACCUCUAUCCCUGCUGAAUCCAGGACAUAAAGAAAAGUAGAAUUGGAAAUGAAGCCCUUUUAAUUUCUAAUCAUGUUCUUCAAAAGUCCUGCCUGCUUCCAGGCUAUGCUUGAGAUAAUCAUGUUACCUAAAACUGCAACAGAACAAGCAACAGUCAAGCCAGUCCAGCUUAGAUUGCAUGGCAGUGCUGAGGAAGCUGAAGGUGCUAUUUAUUAUAUAAAUUUGUUAUCCCUAUAUCAAAGAUCAAAAAACUAAAGUGCUGCACUGCAGCACAGCACAUAAAUUAAUUUAUAGGCGAAUUCUCAUGCGUCCUGAUGGAUCUAUGAGAACUGGCAGACACUAAUAGGCAGUAAAAUAAUUUCUCUAGAAGUUCACUUCUGCAGUUUGUUUCCUCGCCUCUCUGGGACAGAAGUGAAAUUUGCUAUUGUUUCCCUCAGAAUUUGCCUCUCAUGCAUUGAAAACAAUGAAAUUCUAUUUGAAUUAGGACAACAGGAGAGGCAAUUUAAAGGGGCACUAAAGAUUCAGUCUCUUAAUCACAACUGUGACAAAAUACUGUUAUCCUUGCCGGCAAUUCCCUGGCAAUUUACAGUACACUAGUGUAAAAGGAAGAGACCUUGCAUUGCAAAGAAACCUGACUAGAUAACCAGGUCUUCAUCUACUGAUUCCCCUUUCCUUGCAUGACUGCAUACAUCCUAGCGAUCACCAGGUACUCUGCCAUCCUGAAGCCAUUCAGGAGCUAUAUUUUGACCCUGACAUUGAAUCUAAAAUAUUUAGAAAGUGAAGUCAGUGCAGAGGUUGGCUUCUGAAUAACCCAUUUAAUGAGGAGGGCAUUUCAGUAGGACUGUGUGAAUGCACAGCAGCCCCAUUAGGCUGAAAUGGCACCUUAACAGUUUUUACUGUAGGGGCAACCUAAAACCACUCUGCCUGAACUGUGGUUUCUGCUGCUCCCCAAAAGGGAUCCUCUUCCUGCAUAUAGGUCAGAAAUUAAAUUGUUGGGCAGGUUCCCCCUGCAAGAUCCUGGAACCCUAGGUUGGCACAGGACAAGCAGUUGUUUUAGGGUAUAAGAAAAGAAAUACAUAAUUAGGGAUUUGAGAAAUAUCUGAGGACUUUGAGGAUAACACCCUAAAGAAAGAGUUAGGAUUUUUAAUUUUGUUGUUGCUGGACUGAUUUCCUGCUGAACAACUCCUCAAAUGUAACAAAAAAAUUUAGAACUGACAAUGGUAAGUUAAAUAGAGUCAAAUAAAGGCAUAUUUUUAUUAUCUGCAUACAUCUGAAGCUGAGUUAAAAUAUAAGGAAAAGCAGGUAGUAUAAAGGCCAGGAAGAUACCCCAAUGAUCAAUAUGGUCUUCAGAAGAUUGUGAUGUUUUCAACAACUUGUUAAUUGCUGGUAUAUCAGUAAGUGCCAAACCCAAAUAAUUGUUUCAAAUUAUGUUCCAAAGCAAAACACAUAGAAAUUGCCAACCUCUGUUAAGCAAUACAAAUAAAAAGCUCCACAUACUUGUGGGUGAUUCUUGAAUUAUUGUAAUUCUUAUAACUCUCAUAGGUUGCAUUGACUCUCAAAUGAAUCUCUGCUUUCUUUACCAAUUACUGCUACUUUCAGGCCUUGAAUAUUUGAAUCUUAGCAUUCUUCCUGUGAGAUGCUUGAAUGAAUAGCAACUGCAAAUAUGUGGUUUUAGCCUUUAAUCUGGACACUUCUGUCAAGAGAAAUACUGUUAAAUUACCAUAGUUGUUCUUUGGGCAAAACUCUUAAGCUACCUAUUACCCAUGUUCCUUUAGAGUGAAAGCAUUCUCAAAUAGGUUUCUUUUGCUUAUCUCUUUAUAACUAGCUGAUGGGGAAAGGCAGAAGAGAUGUUAAGUGUGAUUAAUUUAUUUUGAAGCAUAUUGCUAAGCCAGCAUCCCUUUCCAGAUUAGCAUAUUUCUGCUAACAACCUUUUUAUACAAGAUCUUCAGCCAGUUUUCCAUGAGAAGUUUCCAGCAUCCUGUAAGAAUAAUUUCCUUUUUUCUGUGAAGUGUUCUAGAAUUUUUAGUUUAUGUAGAGUGAAGAAAGCAAUUUCAAAAGAGAUAUGAAGUGGGCAAUUGCUUUUCCCUUCCUGAGGUCACCAUGAGUUUGUUCUCUUGAAGCAGAGUCUCACCUUUCAGCUGAGGACUUCCAGUGACAGGAGUUUCUCUGGUGCUGUGCACAGAGCUCUUCAGCUACAAGUAGAAGGGAAGAUAGAGCUCCUGCAGCCACUUCAGGAUUUUUACUUGGAAGCCUAGUAAAAAAGCACUGACAUGAAUGUAAUUAGAAGUAUUUGGGAUUUAGUAUCAAAGUUUCUCAAUUGAGGGACCUCAAAUAUAUCAAUUGAAAACAUCUUCCUGUCCAUUACUGUCCAGUUACUAUUCAGUAUUUCUGUUCAAAUAAUGUAUUAGUUGGUCUGAGGCUGUUGAAACAUCACUUCUAAUAGUUCAUGGCAUUCUUUAUAAAUAAUUGGUUUCUGUAGAAUUUCACAAUGCUUUGUUAACUCUGAGAUAAUUUAUAGACAAUUUUGUCUUUUUUGAAAAAUAUUUUAAAACUGUGGCUCUUGUUUUGAAUCAUGCUUUUGAAUCAGCUUGAAGUUUAAUCCAAUUUUUUAUAAAGAGACAAAACUUAUCUCCACCAACACUUUAAAUAUGUUAGGGAUCACUGUUUUCCUCUGGUAUUUCUUUGAGUCAGAACAUUGACAGUAUUAGGAAAACUAAUUUUUUUGGGAGAAAGACUCAAGGGUAAGAUUUUAUUCUCUUUGCAUCCUUCAGAUUGUUUUUGCAAGGCUCUGAAGAAUGAGCAGUUGUCUUCUCUGUCCUUCAGGACAGCUGGUUGAUAUCCAUAAGGCUUCCUGGAGCUGUGCUUCCUCUUGAAAGGAAAUCUGGAAUUCUGUGUAUUUAGUUGUUUUCUUCUAUAUUCUUGGGGUUUUUUUUACUGGAAUGUUUAAGCUAAAAAUGCAUAAAAAUUCUGUGGAGAAACUUAGGCAUUAGCAUCCAAUUCAGUAACUUAAUUUCUGCUUAAAAUUUCUUUAUCCAGUGUCAUUGAUCAUAUCACAAUGAGUUUGGUUAGUAAAGCUGAGAAUAUGCUUUCUGUGUCUGAGGGCAGGUGGGAAAUAGAGUUUGUGGGGGAUGAAUUAUCCUGGUUUUCUACAGUUCUUGACUUUGGUGGGAAUUGGACAUAUUUAGCACCCCUGAUUAACAGGUAACUUAUUUAGGUGUUUAAUUGUAGGCAGUCAGGCUGAAUUUUGAGUUAUUUUUCUUUUUUGAGUUUGGAUAUAAUUGAGGAGAGAGUGGCAUUUUAUCUCUUGUAAGAUGUAAAAGCAUGAAGGGAAAGAACUGGUUUGAGGCUGUAUAUCAGGAUAUGCCUAGAAGGAAUGGGGUUAAAGCUUAGCAGAGUAAAAUGCGUACCCCAUAGGAGAAAAAAGCUUGCAAGCAAGAUACAUUUGUCUAUAAGAGUGUUUUCCAAGACAACCAAAGAAAAUGCUAAGAUGCAUGGACAUUCAAAAAUACUCUGGGAAAAAAAAAAAAAAAAAAAAAAAAAAACGAGGCAUUUGCUGAACCCUGGAUAGAAACAAUUUUCACCUCUGAUAUUGUUUCUGAAUAUUUGGUGUGAAACAUGGUGAUUUUGCUUGAAAAUACAUGGGGCAGUCAAAAGCUUGUAGCCACUUGUGCCUUGCUGAGAGAUCAGCUUCCAUAAAACUGAGCUCCUUUAAAGAAGGUGCCAUGCUGUCAGCACAUCUGUCUCGAGCAAGACAAGGAAGCACUGAAGGUGGAGGAUUGCUGUUCAUUAAUUGCAUCAUAUUGAGCUUCCAGGCAGACUUGAGAUGGCCAAAAGGUGAUUUUUAGGUUCCUCCCCCUACUUCUCUAUCUCCUUCCCCCUUCCCAAAAUAAGUGUUUUGCCAAAACCUCCUUGUGGCAGAGCAAUGGCUUUAAAAAGAAAGUCAGGAAUAAAGCAAGAAUUUUGGACACUAGGUUAAUUCCAAUCCUUUCUUUUCUGAAAGGAAGGCUUGUAAUGUGUACACUCUAUCAAGUUACACUUCUUUUUCACUGCCACUCAGGGUACAAAGGCAAAAAAAGUUAAACAUAUAAACAAUAAUAAAAUAGGGUCAGAAGUCUUUACCCAGCCUUGUAAAUACAAGAGUUUUCAGCUUCCAGUCAUUGAUCUAAGAACAAAAAUUUUAAGAACUGGGAACAUAGUCAUACUUUGUUCAGUUUUAUUCAUGUGUAUAUUACUCGUGAAAAAAAAAAUCCCAUGCUUUCAAUAGAAAUAUUUCUGAGGUAAAAUCUGUAGAAACUGGCUGAAACUUAAGAACUUUUUUAGCAUUAAGGGUUUAUUAAUAAAAUGAGUUUGUGGGUUUUGCAAUUUCUUUAUUAGAAAUGUAAACUUGACUAAUUUACUUAAUAUUGUGCUAGUGUUGUGCACUGUAAUCUUGUAUUUCUAGAUGUAAAAUGUGGCAAAGACUUUUCAAUGCAUCACAGCAGUUUCUUUUCUAAUGGAAAUAUGUUUACUACAAGUGUAGACAACUUAAUGUGUGAGACAAGACAUCUGCCAAGGAUAAAGUAUUUAAUGAAAUACUAUUUUUAUCAAAGCUGUCAAUGUAUUAUGGCUUGAAGUGUUUUCUUCCUAAGAAAAGGUGCCUUGAAGUUAUUUUUCUACUUCUUAGAUUGACCCUGUCCUUGACAUCUGGACAGACAGAAACGGGAAAUUAAUUCUUGGGGAUACAUGGCAUCUGCCACAAGAUUCUUGAAACUAAAUGCACCUGAAUUUACUGAUUUGGACAAUAUUGAAAUCUUCCUUCUGGUUUCUUUAAAUUUUUUUUUUUUACAAAGCCAAUGUUAAAUGCAAAUA